GACGAACGCUGGCGGCGUGCUUAACACAUGCAAGUCGAACGGAAAGGCCCUGCUUUUGUGGGGUGCUCGAGUGGCGAACGGGUGAGUAACACGUGAGUAACCUGCCCUUGACUUUGGGAUAACUUCAGGAAACUGGGGCUAAUACCGGAUAGGAGCUCCUGCUGCAUGGUGGGGGUUGGAAAGUUUCGGCGGUUGGGGAUGGACUCGCGGCUUAUCAGCUUGUUGGUGGGGUAGUGGCUUACCAAGGUUUUGACGGGUAGCCGGCCUGAGAGGGUGACCGGCCACAUUGGGACUGAGAGACGGCCCAGACUCCUACGGGAGGCAGCAGUGGGGAAUAUUGCACAAUGGGCGGAAGCCUGAUGCAGCAACGCCGCGUGCGGGAUGACGGCCUUCGGGUGGUAAACCGCUUUCGCCUGUGACGAAGCGUGAGUGACGGUAAUGGGUAAAGAAGCACCGGCUAACUACGUG
rnacentral:rRNA from 1 species